CCGGAUCUGACGUUUUUGCAUUUUUUUGCUCGGAAGUGCCACGGCGAUCUAGCAGUAUCUCAUCUAUCAAGGACUGUAUGGUUUAGCUUAAGGACUGUAUUUUAGUAUUUUAGUACUGGACAUUUCUUCGCUGACCUGCCCCUCCUGCUAAUUAAUUUAGCUACGUGUGUUCACUGCAACUGGAAAUGGAGGAAAUGGCAGCUCAAUCUCCACAUCAGCAACGUACUAAUGAGGAUGCUGGUCUGUGGGAUUUUCUUCGUAAGAGGGGUGUUCCUGAACAAAAUAUUGACCAAAUGCAACAAGACAGGAUUGAUACAUCAGUUGUCAGAGAACUAGAUGACACCUGCCUUGCACGCUACAUACCACUGUAUGGAGACAGGAUUGCUACAAGGCGGUACUGUCUGGACAAACA